AGUACUCUUAUCCGAUAGAGUUAGAAUAAUAUUAGUUACUUUAAACAAAACCUACGGGUCUUCCUUUUCCCUAGCCUCCCCCAACUUGUUUGGGACUAAAGGCUCGGUUGUUGUUGUAGUAAUAAUUUAAACAAAAUAAUAGGCAUUCUGUAACAUCUGGUUGUUUUGUGAGUAGCUUAGAGGAUGUCCAGAAACGAACAGUGAAUGUGAAUACUAAUGAAGAUCCUAGUGGGUAGCGUCCUUAUGUCACUUUUGUUGACCAUUUACAUGAGAAAUGUGCAAAGAAGGCCGGUCUUAAUGUAAUUCUAAAACACCGGGCUCUUGCUCCCACAGUUCUAUGCUAUUCUAAAGCAGCCUUUGAUCUUUUCUCUUGACGAAUUAUUUUCAUUCUUUCAAAUGAUUAACUAAGAAUAUUUAGUUAUUAGUAUCUGGUCAAACACGGUGGCCAUGUUUUGCUAUUAGUUCUGUACUGCAGUUUAAUGUUCAUUCAUGUUAUAAAUAGUUACAUAUGCUUGUUUCAUAAAAAGUUCUACUUGUACCAGCUCAAAUAAAAAGAUUGAGCAACCAUGCUCAGUCAUAUGGUUCUAGGCUAGCUCAGAUCAGCGGUUGGGUUUGAGCUGGUAGAUAUUGUUGCUAUGUAUGGAUCUAUUCAAAGCAUGCUUCUUUUGUGUGUGGUAUGAUGAUCUAUUUUAUAAGAUUUUCGCUCUCAGUAUUCUAGAUCAAGUUCCUAUUCAAGCCAAAUCGUAUGCUAAUUAACUUGAUCUCAUGCCUGACAUUCUGGAAUUCGAUGCAUCCUCUUGACGUUUCCUGGUACACAUAACGGGUCUAAAUGUAUCUUCUUAGAGACAGCGCAGAGUCCAGAACAGGUGGAUUGUAAAGGUUUGUGGCAAGAAAUUCAACGGGCAGAAGAUAUGAAGCUGGAUAAAGUGAUUUUUGAACUGGACUCACAAUUAGUGGCUGAUGCAGUCACCAAGGAAGACUUCAAAUCAGACUGGAAAUUUUGUAAUUUGGUUUUAGAUAUUAAGAGUAUUAUUAAGAAUAAAAUUUCUUGGCAAUGUUGUUAUGUGCCUAAAAAAAACUAAGGUAGCAGAUGUCUUAGCAAAACUAGCUAGAAUAUGUCUGGAUCUUAGUUAUCUCUGAAGACAUUUUACCUCAAUUAAAAGAGGACGCAAAACAUGUAAUCUCUGACACUUGAUCAAUAAAAUUUCCAGUUUCAAAAAAA